rnacentral:tRNA from 1 species
GGCGAGGUGGCCAAACCCGGUUAAGGCGGGGGACCGCAGGUCCCCGAUUGCUGGUUCAAAUCCAGCCCUCGCCUCCA